AUUACAGCCUGCGUGCUCUGGCUGGGCAAGUGCCUGCUCCCUCAUGCUGGUGAUUCCAUUCUGUGUUCAAUGGAGAUCUCUGGGUGAGGGGAGAAAUGAACUGAGAGAAGGUACAGACGUGCAGGGGUGUGGAGGAGCACUGCAGAGUUGUUCCCUGCCAUGUGGAAAGCCUGUCACCGCCACACACAGUGCUUCUGGUCCUGCCCAGGAAAUGUCUGUGGAUGUCAAGGACCUAAAUUAAAAAUGCCAGUAUGUUCCCGCUCCGAAGCUCUACACCAGCCCAGCCAUCACACCUGAGCACCUGGCAGGUCUGACUACAGCUCUGUCAAGAUCUUCAGGAAAUGAAGCUAAUAUUUAAUUCCAUCUGCCAGCUUGUUUUUCUACCAAGCAGUGUCUGAGAAGAAUAAAUGUAACUGUAUCCUGACCUGCCUGGCAAAAGAUCUGACCCUCUCCCUCCACAAACAGACAAUUUUUGACUUCUUUCUUUGAGGAAGAAUAUGUGCAAAGCUAGAUGAAACCAGACAGCCAUAUCUGUAUGAAUAGAAACAAGCAGCUGUGUGCUCAUCUCAGACUCCAGCAUAUAAAGACUGUCUCCUGCCUCAAGGAAGUUGGCAUUCAAGAGGAGAGAUGUUCCAGACGUUAGCUGGAAAGUCACAAAAGUUCACGCAAGGCACCUCAUGGAGAACUGGUUUUCCUGGAAACAGGUGAGUGGAGGAUUAGUGAAUGGUCUGACCCACAUAGGACACUGAGGAGUGAAGGACAAUGUGCUGUGGGUGUGACACAGCAAGUUCAUGUGCUGGUCUGUUGGGAAUUGUUACAAAUGCAGACUAUGUGGCUAUAUAAUGAAAAUAAGAAAGAAAUGUAAAAAUAAUCAAAAGUAAGAAUUAAUUCAGAGACAUAAAAGGGAAUCCUUGCCACGGAAGAAAGUCUUACGUUAGUUAAACACAGAGAUUAGGUUUUAGGAAGGGCUUAGCCACUGCAGAUGAGAACUUCCACAGGGACACAGAUCGGAGGAACUCAGCUUCAAUGUGAGACCCAUGAUUAUUAAGAUUAUUGAUCUCAAUCAAUAAUGUAAAGUAUUGAACUCCAGAUAAGCUAAUUAAAUAUGUUCCUGCUAUCCUACCUUGGUCUAAAUAAGGUGAAGACUAUGCCAGCAAGCUGGGUCUUUUGACCUUUUUCUUGUGGAAAAUCCUGGCUCAUCUCUGUCUCUUAUCUCUACUGUUUGUCCAUCACCUAAAUUCCACUUAGCUUAACUAUAGUAAGGAUGACGUAAGAUGCGUGUUAUAGUUAUUCAUGCUAAGCCACUGGUCAUAUUCAUACAGUCACAAAUCAAUAGGCCUGGACAUUAUCCACACAAGUGUGUUAAGAAAGCUGGUUGACAUUGUUUUGUGGCUGCUCUCCAUAAUAUUUGAAAAGUCAUGGAGAUUGAGGGAUGUGACAGAAGACUGGAAGAAGGCUGAUGUCACCCCCAUCUACAAGAAGGUCUUAAAGAAGGAUCCAAGAAAUUAUAGGCCCAUCAGUGUUACUUCAGUCCCUGGGAAAGUUACAGAAUAAAUCCUCCUGGGAACUAUCACAAGUUACAAGAAGCAAGCGAUUGGGAAAAGCCACCAAGGGCAAAUCAUGCCUGACAAAUGCUGUCGCCUUGUAGACAAAGUAACCUUCUUGGCUGAUGUGGGGCAAGUGGUGGAUGUUGUCUACCUGGAUUUGUCCAAGGCUUUUGAUACUGUUUCCCACAGCCUCCUCCAAGAGAAACUGAGUGUUACAGUCUAGACAAGUGGUCUCUGUGGUAGGUGGGCAACAGGCUGACAGGCUGUAGCUGAAGGGUGGUCAGUGGCUCCAUUUCAAACUGGCAACCUGACAUGAGUGGGGUACCCCAGGGAUCGAUAUUAAGCCCAACACUGUUUAAUAUUUUCAUAAGUGAUCUGGAUAAUGGAAUCAAGUGUAGCCUGAUGAAAUUUGCUGAUGACACCAAACUGAGUGGGGAAGUGGACACUUUGGAAGGGAGAACCUUCUGCAGGAUGACCUAGAUAGGCUGGAAGAGUGGGCUAACAAGAACCUUAUGAAAUUCAACAAGGACAAGUGUAAGGUCUUUCACCUUGGAAAACAUAAUCCAGGAGUGCAUCACAGGCUGAGAUCUACCCGGAUGGGGAGCAGCUCUGUGGAAAGGGACCUGGGGGUCCUGGUGGACAACAAGCUCAAUAUGAGUGAACAGUGUCCUGGUGCAGCAAAGAAGGCCGAUGGGAUGCUGGGUAGCAUCAACAAGGGCAUCACCAGUCGACGACAAAGAAGUCAUUAUGCCACUGCACUCAACACUUGUCCAGCCACACCUGGAAUACUGUGUCAGAUUUGGUCCCCGCUAUAUAAAAAAGACGUGGCCAGGCUGGAGAUGGUCCAGAGAACGGCCACAAAGAUGAUCAAAGGACUGGGAAGCCGCUAAAUGAGGAAAGGCUGAGAGAACUGGGCUUGUUCAGCCUUGAGUAAAGAAGGCUCAGGGGAGACCUCAUCACCAUGUUCCAGUAUUUAAAGGGCAGCUACAAAGGAUAUGGAGAUUCCCUUUUCGGGAGUCACAUGGAAAGGAAGAGGGGUAAUGGGUACAAGUUACUCCUGGGGAAAUUCUGAUUGAGUGCAAGAGGAGAAUUUUUUAUGAUGAGAACAAUCAGCCAUUGGAAUAAUCUUCCCAGGGAAGUCGUGGAUUAUCCAACAUUGGACACUUCUAAGAUUCAGCUGGACAGGGUGGUGGGCCAUCUUGUCUAGACUGUGCUUUUGCCAAGAAAGGUUGGACUGGAUGAUCUUUGAGGUCACUUCCAACCUGAUAUUCUAGGAUUCUAUGAUAAUAUUCCAUUUCUAGUGAUUAUAAAUAUUUUCCCCUAUAAUACAAAGCUACAUUCAAUUUUUUUUUUUUUUUUUUAGUCCUACUAAAGGAAUUAAAAUGAAACAAUGGGACAACACGUGAGACACAGGACAUGAUCAGUCACCAACACCAGUGCCAGGGCAAAGAAAAAUCUGGGAGAUGGUAACUUGAAUAGGUGAGAGUGGGUGGGGGGAGUUUCACAUCACGUCUUUCCAAGCAAGGGCUUUGCUCCCCAGGUGCAAGUCCCUGUCAUGACUGCUCCUCAGUGCCAUGGGGCUUCAUUUAAUGCUCUGUGGAGAGGCAGGUUCGGGGCUUGCUCCAACAGCAAUGAAGUGCAGGUGCUGCUGCCCUUGUUCAGUGUGGAGGACAAAGCUGGGGGCACAAGAAGAGGUCACACUUUCAGAGGGACCCACAAUGUGGGGGCUCCUAGCAAAUGUAGCUUCACUGGACUUCACUUUCAGGAUGACUGUAUUCAGCCCUUUCUGCCAAAUACAUCUCUUUUAAGUUAUCUCCAAAGUGGAUAAAUUCAUAGGCAUUUUCCUAAUCCUCUGGAGUGUUAAACUCAGAAAGUUGAACAGACUUAGAGCAUCCCAAGCUGACUUCUGAGAUCCAGUUAUUGGCAGGAUUUAGUUUCCUUUUGGAUUUGUGAAACACGAAAAAAUUAGAUGGUGUGUCCCCCCCCCCGCCAUUUUGAAAUGUUUGCCAAAUGUGUCCUGCAAACACAUCAACCUGGACACUCUCAACACUGACAGUCUCUAACUGUGCUGAUUAAUGACUUUCAAAUACUUGCACUGUGGGAAUGUGGGAGUGCUAUUAUUUUUCUUCCCAGGCAAGCAUGAUACUCACAUCACUCACUCCUCCUUCCAGGGUUUUUGGGAUAGCUGUGAGAAUGUGCCCUGCACAAAUAGAUACAUGACAUUUUCUCUAGACAAGCUUUUCUUUGUAUUCUUUCUUCAAAUAUUUGUGGGAAAUAGAUAAACACAUCAGGAAUGCCAUGGUAGGGAAUUAACUCUUUUCAGAGGAAAAUACCAUCACAGAGAUACUGCAGCUCUUCCCCUGAGCCUCUGCUCCAGCCUGCCCUGCUCACCUUAGCCUUUGGGCACACACCAGGAUAGAAAGCUGGGCUGCUAGCCAUGAGCAAUAAACUCUUUCGUAUCUAGGUUGCCACCUCCAGUCUCAAGACAUGACAAAGUGGUUCUGAUCAGAUAAUGAUUUUCUGUCAUCACCCAGCAAAGGAUGAGUGUGUGAAUCACUAAAAUCAAGACAGCAUGGAUGCUAUGGGUAGGACAAGAAAUUUGGUUUCUCCAGGGUCCCUCUAUAAUGAGUUUAGAAAAGCUCCUUGAAGAGGGCCAUCAGGUGCCUUCAGCUUCAUGGCUAGCAUCUUACUGGACAUUUGCUGGCAAGAGCAGAAAUCUUUUAUAUCCAUGGAUCUCUUCUAGGCAUGACCAUUAUAGAGAUGAUCUUCAGUACUUCCUACAACAGUUCUAUCUGCGCUGGGAAUAGAAAACUUCCAGUCAAGAGAGCUUCAAGAAGAAAAUUUGAUCUAACACAUGACAAUAAUCCACUUCCUGUUCUUGAAAACUCAGUGAUAGGGGCUACAUUAGUGUCCCUCUUUGAACCUUCUCAUGCUAUCUUUGGUAAGGUUUUCUCAAUUUCAUGGCUAACACAUUCCUUCAUGGCCUUUUAUUUUCACUCCUGCUGGGCAGAUCUUUGAAGGAUUCUCAAGAGCCAUUCAGUACUUAUAAAAGAAAUAAAACUUCUCUGAGGAAAGUAAGGUACCAUCCUUCAGCUGGGCAGGAAGGGAUUUGCCCUUUAGUUGCCAAAAGCAGUCUCACAACUAAUGUCAGUAUGUCAGGCAGUUUCAUUUGGGUUAGCCGCAUGUGCAGUGGAAGUUUCCAGACAUGCGGAGACAUCCAAGGUAGAUGAAUUGAGAUGAACAAGCCUUUCUCAAAUGGGAAUAGGAAGGAACAGCCAGAGAAGGUAAUGAAUUAAGUUGGCAAGCUGCUCUGCCAGACUUGUCUCAGGUCAAGCUUGUGCAGAUCUGAAAAGAUCACUGUUCUUUCUCCAGUUCAGGUGUUACAAAGCUCCCAGAGUUUCAAAGUUUCCCUUCUCAGAAGCUGUGAUUGCUCAAGCCUAUGAAAGUAUACGGGUGCUAGUCUUGUCCAGCUCUAGCUCCUUCAUAUCUGUGAUCAAAUAGUGAAUCUAUGCCUGCUAGGUACUAUUCAUUAUUCCAGCUCUUUUCCAGAAAUGAUGUGGCUGAGCCAGAGUAUCCCCAGCAGACCCAGGUUAGCAGCUGAUUGCUGGGUUUUAAAUGGCCUUGAACAAGGCUCCAUCAUUCAGGUAUUUUUUUCCAAUGGAAAAUGAGUUGGAGACCACUCACACAUCUCUCAGAACAGCUGCUUUUCUUCAUUCUUGGAUUCUCCUGUGACCAUGAGUGCCCUACCAAACAUUUUCAUUUUGCUUUUUCACUAGACUAAAUGCAGACCCAUCUGACAGUCAUUACUCUGGGCCCUCUCUCCUUUCCGAGUCCUUUCCUAUGAAAGGAGAAUUGAAUGUGGAAGUGUCCAUAAGUUCAUCACAAAGAAGUCAGCAUGACACUGUCCUGUCCCAUUUCCAGUUAGAGGGAAGGACAUGAGGGUUACUUGAGCAGAGAUCUUCUGUACAUGGUGAGAAGUCCAAGGAAGCAUGGCUUUAUUUGUCCAACAUUUAAAGGUAUAAAGCUAAAAACCUGACAAUUAGAAUGCAUUCUGCCUGGUAAGCAUCACUGGGGUGAUUAAAGAACCAUUUGUGCCAAGCAGUCCCAAACUGACUGCAUUAAACAACACAGAAACUUCUCUGUGAAACCAUUAGCCUGUGGGUGAAAACUAUUGAAGUCUGAUUUAUUUAUUUUCUGUCAUAGGUGGCCUUCCAAAUCUCACUGCCAUUUAGUUUACCAGCAGUAGCACCUGUGCACUAGAAAAUAAACUGAGGUACCUGUUUAUACAGAAAAAGUUCAGAGUGGAAAACAGUAACCCACCGAACUGCAUCAUGGUUUUCUCCAACUUCAGGAACAGCUAGAAAGGUUUCACAGCCAAGAAUUAAUCUGACACAUUUUUCUGAUGCAUCCAAGGUCUGACUUGAAUUCAGGUUUUGCAUUCAUGGCUCGUCAAAAACGUGGUUGUACUAAACAAUCUGCCUGUUUCAGUAACCUGUGUAGAUAGGAUGUGAGAAGCUCACAGGUAAAUGUUACAGAAAGCCCAAAGUGAUGUUUGUACAGCUAUUCUUAGCAGAGAUUUUAUUGACCCAACAUCAUCUGUGUUGCUUAAAAUGCCAGUUCUGGUAAAAAGUGCUGGACUGACAACUGUGGGGACUUGAGGUUUGUUUAUUCACUGAACCAAGAGAAAAAUCAUCAGCAGAGAAUGUUUCCUUCCCAGCAGUCCCUGCCAACUUUAUUUUUAUUACCUAACACUCAUACUGAAGCACUGUUUAGGGGCUCCAAACAGUUUACACUCCCUCUGCUGAGUACUGUAAAAAUAGCAAACCUCUUCCAUUCUAACAAACAGGACCAGGAGUAAAGCACCCCUCACUCCUCUGGGACUCCCAAUGUAGCUGCAGCUACAUACUGUGGAUUUUUUUCUGUCCAGACCAAGACCUGCAAAUUCAUUUCAUGCAGGGAACAGUAUGAACAUCUGGCACCAGCUAAUCACUCACCGCCUACUUAGGCUGCUGUCAAAAUCCUGUUUUAGUAGGAACCUGACCUAAAGCUGUAGCAGGUUUCUACAUGGUACAUAUGUGUAAAUCAAGACAAAAUGAACGGCAGCAGAAGGAAAACUAAGAGAAGGGGAUAGCUGCUAGAGACAGUGCAUUACUGAGACACCUGUUUGCCAUAGGGGCAGCAGAAUAAGACAAACUUGUGAAAAUAACGUUUGAUGGCCAGGGCUGAAGCUGAAGAAACUGACAAGAUCUUGUUUCUGGGGGAACUCCAGUGAAAGGAGAUGGCAUCCCCAUUUGGAGUCCAUCCAGUUCAGCACUCAGUGACAAGUGCAGCCCUUCAGCAUAGAUCACUCUAAUUGCCUGCUAUUUACUGUGUAAUUGCCCUAUAAACAGACACAUACAUACAGCAUAAGAAGAGAAUUGGGAUCUAUAAUUAUAUGCAAUUAGCAACAUUCAUUGCUCUCUGCUCUACUUAUCCCUAAUGAAUGGCCUGUGCAAACAGCAGGCUUCCUACUGGGACAAAUUUAUAUGUGACAUGGGCAAAGGUAGCACCAGAGAUUAGCACUACUUGUCAUGGAGUGAGGAAAUGGAGUAUUGCAGUCUAGCAUGAGUGAUAACCAGGUCCACAAGCCCUGGGGUGGGUCAGAUGGACAGACCAUGGCAAAAGGAUUCAAAGGGCUCAGGCUCUACUUUUGGACCUGGCAGUGUGGUUUCAGGAAAAUAUUUUUGGUAGCUUUAUGCAUCAGCUUCACCAUCUACAAGACAAGGCUGGCAUCCUUGUCUUGUUUGAAAUUGAGGUGGAACAUACAGAAGAACAAUUUUAUGAAGGAUAUACCAUUAUUUCAAGAAUCCACAAGUGGCCCUCAUAUGUAAGAGUCUAGUAAAUACUCUGAAAUCUUAGUGGAUGCAAAAGAAUUAGAGAGAUAUGACUUAAAGGUAUUAGCACUGUACCUGAUGAGAGCAGCACUGGCUGAAGAGGCAAAAAUGUGUGACUGAGGAGCUUCUCCAAAGCUGGAAAUUUUAGGGUUAGGCAAAGCCAGAUGUAUCCAAGGUGUUGACAGAAGACCAUAGGGGAACAGGGACAGCCUCAUCACAUCAGGCUUAUAAAACAAAGCAAUUAAAUGUUGGAAAACUGUAUUAUUGGGUGCAAAUCAAGUCCUUCUGUGCCUGACAGAUGGAGAAAAUGGAGUUUUCUGUCCCUAGUAGCUAGGGUUCUAGGAAACAGAGUUGUACCCAGAGUGAAUCAAAAUUGUCUGCAAGGCACUCCAGCAGAUCUGUCAUUUGCUAAAUAGUGAUGAUAGUGGUGAAAAAAUACCCAUGUGCUAAAGAAAUCUGCUGAAAAGGGAAACUGCCCAGCUGGGCUUCCACUCCUGUGAAUUCAGGCUGUGGUAUUAUCUGGGAGGCUGGCUUCCUGCUGGCAAAUGUUAGCCAGUACCUUCUGGAAGAGAAAAAAGCAGAACAUUUUUUAUGGCCCAGCCCUCCUGGGGAGGUGUAUCCUCCCAGGAGGAAUUCAGCAGCUUAGCUUAGAAUUGCUCUUUUUAUCUCUUCCAUUUUUCUCUUGCAUUCCCAGCAAUGCAGGUCAAUUCUUCUGGCCUCCUUAGGCCCAUCCUUGCAGAGCUCAGUCUCUUUUCCUCCCAGAGGACUACAUCCCCCUCUGGACUUCACCACAUGGGUGAGGGCAGAGCUGCUGUGGCCAGGCUGCCCAGGGUGGCCGUGCUGCUGCUGCCUCAAAGAGACAACACUCAGCCUUGCUGCCAACUGCACCUAGAGGGGUGCUUUGUGCCAGAGGCAGAGAAGCCUUGUAUUUGCAAUUUGUUUUGAGGAAGAAAAUCUCUAGGAAUUAAACAUGAACUUCUGUUCCCUUUUAUUUGCUGACAAUCUCAUCUUGGCGGGGUCAGCAUCCCUUCCCACACACAGCCUGUGUCAGCUCAGGCUUCUCCUCUUUGUACUCAGCUGGUUAGUGCCCUUCCUACUGGCUGCCCCGAUGUGAGGGGGCUUGUUUAAUGAAAUCUCCCUUCAAAUGGCAGAUUUCCCUGACACAGGCUCUCUCUUACUUGGCCCCAGGAGAUUUAAGAAUAAGCAGAGGAAUUUCUCCACCUACGCAGAGCAGAGUGUAAAUCAUGGGUGGGUGGGCAGCAGGCUCUAGGGGCUUUGGAAGACAGUAAAGCAUCUCCCAGGAGAAAAGCAGCUUUGACCUACCCUGAGGACCAUCGUUCUGUUCCCUUUCAGAAAAUGCUAACAGAGGCUGCUUCUGGUUCAUCCCCUUUCCAGCAAGUGCUUGCCUUUUUGGACCUUUAUUUCCAUGAGAUUGCCUGAAUUUUUCUGUGCUGUACAGAGAAAGUUUCAUUCAGGCAUCAGCCUCACAUUCCCGUCACACAGCUCUUCUCCACAUUUUGGCUUUUCUUAACUCAGAAGAGCCCCACACCCUCUGCUGCUGCCCUGGACCACUCCAUGGACUGCCCAGCCCCAUGGAGCACAGUGUCACAGCAGGGCAGGCUCCUGCCUAAGUACCAUCCUGGCAGCCCAGCAGGGACAGCCAUUGGCUCUCUCUGUGCUGAGGAGCUUGGCACAAAGGGACACUGGCCAGGCAUAAGCCUAUUGACCUGGAGGAGCAUGAUGUUGGCCUUGCUUUAGCUGGAGAGUUCAGCACUGGGUAAUCACAGCAACUUAGGCACAGCCUCUAUGCCCAGCAAAUGCUAUAUUUAAUGUGAAUAAAAUAAUUACAGGAAUUGUACUC